rnacentral:misc_RNA from 1 species
UUCAGUCAAAAAUUAUUUAAAUAAAAAUAUCUACAUUAGAAGAAAAUCUCAUCUGUACAGGAACAUUUUCAACAAAUACAUGAACAGAAGAUUUUUUUUUUCCAUAAAAAAAAAAAAUCAAAGAUAAGAAAUGUAACUGAGGCUCUACAAGAAAAUUUAACUAUGGAAAUGCCUUAUUUGGGGUUGCUACUUUUUUUCAGGGACAUCAAAAGCCUUUACAUGGUCAACUAAUUUCCUACCACCAAUAAAGAUUGGCUUCCUGUAUCUUUCCUGAGCUUUUGCAGAACCAAAACAUACCACUUCAUCUAUAAUUCACCAGAUAGUAUCUGUAAUGACAAUAAGAAAAAUCAAUCAGUUUGAAAACUUAAUGUCCUUGACAUGAAAUCAAUGAAUUCUUCCAAUAUUGGAUAUAGGCUCUGCAGGUCCAUAACAUGAAAUCAUAUUUCAAACCAGUCCUAAAACAUAGAUGAAAAUCAACUCGUGAUUAGAAUAUUAGAGUUACAUCCUCGGAUCACAUCAAGGGAAAAUUGUACAUGAGCUGGGACACAAACAAAAAUAAGGACCUUAGAAUUUCUGAUCUCAUAUUGGCAAAACUAAUUAUUUGGCAGACUUAUCAAAGCAAUUCAUUGGUAUCAGAUGAUCUUCCAGGCUUUAAAAAAUUUCUUCAAGCAAAUGAAUCAUUAAACCUGAAGGUUUCCAUUAAAUUUCUUCAAACAAAUGAAUCAUCAAAAAUUUCUUCAUGUUUUCAAGAUCCUAACUACCAAUUAUAUAAGGUGUUUCCAAUCACUUCUAUCACUAAUCUUCCUAAAAUAGAAAAAAUAUGCAUCCUCUUAAGUAGGUUGGCUUUACCAGCCCACUAUCUGAUAUGGAGACAGAAAGGCAGCCAAUUUAAUAUUGGCAUUAAAUUUUGUAUAGUUAAUUGAAAAAAAUGAAAAUUGCGGUUGUUCUGAAGCUCCCACUUAGUCAACUAAUUACAUGCUGUGCAGAUUGCAUGAGAUUGUCACUAAUGCUAAUAUAACUUUCAAAUAUAAUUCCAGAGGCCAAGAGCAUGAAAAGAGAGGAAGACUUAACUGCAUUGUUCAAUAAAGGCAGAUCAUGAUUAGCUCUGUGCACACUCAAGAGGGUGCAAAGUUCCUUCAGCAAAUUCAUGCAUCCGAAAAAAGGGGCUGCAACUAACAUGAUAAAUUCUUGUAAAAACAAUGAAUAAUGAGAUUAAAGAAAUUGUUCUAGAUAACAAGGUAUAGCUUUGAUCAAAGCCAAGGCCCAUGAUCAGAGACUGCGCGCAGGGAAGUUGGUGUGCAAUUGACACCCUAUCUAUCUGCAUAUACUCAAUUAGAUGGUCUGUAAUGGAAAUAUAUUAAUCCUAAAAAUUCAUUAAUGUGAGAAGAAAACUGGACAAGAGAUGGGCACGUGCAUGUGUUAGAGAACAAAUUCCUAACAAAAUGGCUGGCAUAAUUUUUUCUACUGAGUGAACAUGAGAAGAAAGCUAUACUAGAUUUUAUGGCCCCAAGAAUGAUAAAUGGAAAAGCAGAUCUAAAGCCAGUUAGUUAUCACAAUAAAAGUGUCAAGUCUCUGACAAAUGCAAAGGACACUGCACUUUAAGCUCAUAAAAUACUCAUGUCUUGCAAGGAGACUCAAGGUGCAAACCACAUAAAAUACUCAUGUCUAGCUUUAUGCACGGUCUAUAUGUGUGUAUAUUGCAAGAAUUUCAGGGGAGAGAGAACUCGCAGAAUAGUGAUCAAAAUACAAUAACAAUAAAUUUUGUGGACAAGUAUGGAAUUUUUUAGUCUUACAAGAAGACUUCAUGAUUAUGAUUUAAUCUUCGUUGAUUGCUUUCCAUGGCUUCAAACACAUUAGAAGUUUCUGGCCCAGUUGAUCCUCCAGCUACAAUUGAUGGGAUGGAAGCAGUCGGAGUCCAAAUCUUUAUUGUGUUAUCAAUACCACUUGUAGCCACAACACAAUCAAAUGGAUGGCACUGCACACAGUUCACAACAGCUUCGUCUCCAUUAAGCAUUUUUAUUAGUCUACCAGUUUGCUUUUCCCAGAUAAAACAUCUACCAUCAUCACUUCCACUGGCCACAUACUCACCUCUCUGGCCCAGAAAACUGGCCUGUUUUAUGUCAGUUCCAACAUUACAGUGGCCAACAAAUCUCUGCUUCAUAUCAAUAACUGUCUCUGGCUGAUAAUUCCGCCGGUCAUUUUGUGAAGAUGAAGGUGAUCUGCAGGAGCCAUUUGCACAACUUGAUUCUCGAGUUGAAUCACCUCUUCGAUGAAUCCUCAAAUUUAAACUUCCGUGAAGAGUAUUGGGUUCAACAUCACGUCCUUCAUCACCCGAUAUUGAUGUUUCAAAGUCCAACUCCAAUUCCUCAUCAUAGUCAGAAUCUUCUCUUUCAGAUGUUGGACCAUCUUGGGAAGCAUCACUGUUAGCCUCUGAGCGAUAAAGUAUGUCACUUAGUGACAAUGCUCUUCCACUUCGAGAUUCAGACCUCAGAAGCCCAUCAUUUGCUUUAUUAGUUUUUCCUGUUUCAGCUGCAGCAAGAUUCUUUUGUAAAUUCUCUACCAAUUCUGCAAUUUCAGUAUUGGAUGGCGCAACAGAUUGAGCAGCAACAGCAAACUCUAGAGCUUCCUUGUAGUUUCCCAACUGUGACAAAGCUUCAGACAUAUAAUAAAGGGCUCUAAAGGAAGAGCUGUCUAUUCUACGAGCAUUAUAGCAAUCUCUUAUGGCCAUAUGAACAUCAUUUUUCCACUUCCUCUUGAGCAACAAGCCCGCACGUGUGCAGAGACAGUCAUGCCUAAUUGCAAGACCAAUAUCAUGACAAUGCUGAUCCAAAACUUCAUUGCAUGCCUCAAUUCCAUCGUAAUAAUUUGAACCACCCUCUAAGCAUUUUUCAGCAAUUUGAAACAACUUCCUACACUUCUCAAGCACAGAAGUGACAUUGCUUUUGAAACGAAGGCUACUUUUGUAGACAACAGAUAGUGGGGGUUGCAAUUCUAGGCCAUUGAGAAUAGGAUUGAAGGUCAUUAGUUUUGAAGCAUCUCCUGAAGCAUAUCGCAUAGCACUCCCUCCAGCCUGAUUUACAUUCAUGAGGUAUACAUGCUCUCCACUGUAACUGAGUAGAACCUCAUCUCCACUCGGGCUAAAAGUUACAUGAGUUAGGUGUAACCCUGAACGUCCGCGUUCAGAAAGAUGCAUUGGGCAGAAAUAGUUAACACAAGGAGGUGGAGGAAUCCUUUUCCGACAAGAAGUCAGAGGAGGCAGCAUCCUUCGAUCAUAUAGGCGAGCAAAGGCAUCACUCCCACCAACUAGGAGCAGAUGAGGCCGGCUGGCACUGAUGUCACAAGAUUUUAAAGCAAGGGUCUGUCUAGGGGGAUCAGCUAAUGACCUCUUUGCCCCACAGCGCAAGUCAAGUAGAACAUUACGACACUCUUGGGGUGAAGAUCCAGCAGGUGGACAAGAAGCACCCUCCCGAAAGUCAUGCUGUCUCAGUGUCCCAUCUUCACUUGCACUCCAAACCACAUUGGGAUUUCCAACUUCAACAGCUAAUUUUUUUACUCUUCUAGUGUGACAUUGAUACACCGCUGAGGGAGCAAAGGCAUUAUUGUCUGGACCUCUCCCGCUUAGGCGAGACAAAUUAAACAACCGAAUUCCUGCAUCUCCAGCUCCAGAGACCACAAGCUCAUCAGAAGUUUCAGGGACAAAUUUUGUACAGAAUAUGUUUGCGGAAUGCCCAGUAUCUAUAGAAUGCAAAAGCUUUCGACCAUUAUAGCUCCAUAUAUUCAUCUGAGAGUCGUCUGAUCCAGAAAUCAAGAGUGAACCCGUAGAAUUCCAAGCUAUAGUGUUGACACAACCCUGAUGCCCCUCCAAUUCCUUUUCCAGGGAGAGUCUUCGUAUCAAUGAUGAAUGCAUUUGCAAACUGUGAUUGAUGUCAUGGCGAGCAUCGAAGUAUCUGCUCUCCAGCAAAUUACAGAUAUUGCCGUCAUGAAAACCGUAAGAAUCCAUUCUUCCUCUUCUUCUUCUUCAAGUUGCAGUAAAAAAACCCCAGCUUCGAUCGAGAUUGAAUUGAUUGAUUGAUCACUCUGAUAUCAAAGCUAUUAUUUGUGAACUGAAGAAUCGGUUUGAUGAUGGAAAUGCUCAUGCAUGGUUAGGCCAGUGGCAACUGCUAUCUAUGUGCGGGCACUAGUCAUCAAUCUCUACAUUAUUUGUGCUACUUCUAUGCUAGGGAUAAAGACAGAAACCCUCUCUUUUUUUUCAGUAUCUUGUUAUGAAUUAAUUAAUAUUAAUGCGUGCACUAGUGCAUUUUAC